rnacentral:rRNA from 1 species
GCCAGCAGCCGCGGUAAUACGUAGGCAGCAAGCGUUGUUCGGAGUUACUGGGCGUAAAGGGUGCGUAGGCGGCUUUUUAAGUUUGGUGUGAAAUCUCCCGGCUCAACUGGGAGGGUGCGCCGAAUACUGAGAGGCUAGGGUGUGGGAGAGGAAAGUGGAAUUCCUGGUGUAGCGGUGAAAUGCGUAGAUAUCAGGAGGAACACCGGUGGUGUAAACGGCUUUCUGGACCAUAACUGACGCUGAGGCACGAAAGCGUGGGUAGCAAACAGGAUUAGAUACCCUGGUAGUCCACGCCCUAAACGAUGCAUAUUUGGUGUGGGCCAUUCAUUUGGUCUGUGCCGGAGCUAACGCGUUAAAUAUGCCGCCUGGGGAGUACAGUCGCAAGGCUGAAACUCAAAGGAAUUGAUCGGGGGCCCGCACAAG